UUACAAAGACAAGUCAAGGAUACUGGGCCUGGUGACUCCAUUCAUUCCUCCAGAGUAGCCAAUUAUCGAUCUCCCCUCUUUCUAGAACUAAUGAAGCAGUGGAGAGAGGCCAGAAGAAUUCUUCUCCAUGAACACAUAAGUGAAGAAAAGAGGAGACUACAUUCUCCACAACUAACCCCAGUUAAGUAAGAGUUUCUGAUUUUAACAGGGAUAAAAAAUGUAAAUGCAGAUAUACAUUUAUGUAUGCCAAAAGAACCCAUCUUUAGAAAUUUGCUGAGUCAGUUGGAACAUUCCCUUUUAUUUUCUGUCUUUAGCAGUGGAAACGGACAUUCCUUUGACAGCUGGCACACUGUCGAGCUUUGUCUGAAUUAAGUAGUAGAGGUACACAGGGAGAGAAAGAAAACUCCAGGAGUUGAAUACAUUUUCCUCAUGGCCAGGAUCCAGGAGUGGCAGAUGGUGAAUGGUACAUGGAACGUCUCCAUGAGCAGCUUCCCAUGGCAUCUCCAUUGAGAACUCAGUAUCAAGACAAGUGACAGUACUUCCAGAGUAUGCUUGACAACAAGAGGCCAAAUUCACAGGAAACAAGAAACCAGAAAAUUUCAAACAUGUUGGGUUUUCCACGUAGCUGGCCUGAUCAGAGUCUGGACCACCAUAAAACAAGCUAACCAUUUCUCACUCAUCCAGCUUGCCAGAAAAACAGCUGACAGUUCUUACGAGUCUAAAUCAAGAAAGGGAGUGUCAGGGAAAGGCUACACAAAUCCCCUCCAGGGCUGCUGGACACUGGACUUUGUCUGAAGCACAGUGGGAAGGCCUCUGUGAUGUUCUCUGACUACUGGAGUUUCUGAGAAUGAGGUCGCUAUGGAGUCUCCAUGACCUGGGAGGAUUAAUCACUGGAAGGAACCUGAAAACAAGCUGAACCUUCAGUCCAGGAGAAUUUUGACCCAGACCAUUGUCUUUUUGCUUCAUUCAGUUCUUAAAAAAACAAAAUCACUUACUAUCCCCAUACAGCUAC
rnacentral:lncRNA from 1 species